rnacentral:lncRNA from 1 species
AAAUGUACAUUUCGCAUCUAAAAAUAAUUUUAGUAAUCUAAAUCAUCCAUUUAAAAUGAAAUUUUGGCUAAUCAAACUAAAUAAAAAUAUUAAAUAAAAUAUUUUAUUUUCUUAUAAAACAAUAUUUAUAGAAUCCUGCAUAAAUAAUUUUUGUAGCGUAAGAGUAAAAUAAAUUCACAUUUGUAAUAGCACACUAAACCAAGUAUACGAAAAUAUUCUACAAUGACAUGUGGGUCCCAAAAUAACCGCAAAUAUACAAGACUGUAGACCUUCGAUUUCUAAGGAUGCAAAUCCAAAAGCAACCCUCGACAAAAUUGACUGUCUAUAGACUGUCUUGAGCCUGAAAUGGAUAAAAAGAAUGGGUGAGUUUUUACAAACCCAGUGAGUAAGCAAAAUUCAUCUAUAACAUCUAAAGCCGAGUAAAUGGAGAUAGUUAAAUCAUCCCAUCAUAAUAUAGUUCAUAACAUUCAAAACUCAUUUCAAUUCCUAUAAAACAAUUACAUUUCAUCAAAAUAAUCAACAAAGCUUAUGAUUCUCUUAAAAACUUGGCUUGUGCCAAAACUCAUACUCGGUGACACCUUGGCCUAGGCAUCCAACCGAGUCCGUCAAGGAUGUUAAAACGACAUAUACCCAUAAAACACAUUUUUACUUUUAAAAUAUAGCAAUUCCUUGGCGUUGGCUGAGUUUCAUCCUCACGUGAUGGUUCGGCGUGAAGUGAACUUUAAACUUACCUUAGGAGAUACCCUCCGCGCUUCUCAUACUAAGGUAAAAUAUAACGGGGUUUACCGUGCCCCUCUAUUAGGCUGGUCCACGAAAACCCUCCCACUGUAGUAAGCUAAAUACAUAACCCACCAAACCAAUAAAAUUUCGACAGCAUAACAUGGCUAAUAUAGUACUAUCUAGCCUGUUAAUGUAAGGCAAAACAAUUUAUAUAAUUCACAAAACCACAAUUCUAACCAUUCAUGCUACCACAAUUUCAUAAGUCAUCAAUUCAAAUCAUGUAUAUAUAUAUAAUAUGAAUGUAUAGCCUCCACUUACUCUAUUUCAAAAAUCAACAUUUAGUUUUAGAAUAAUUUAUAAAUCUCAUUCAUUUAACCAUCACUUAACUUGUAAAAUAUAAAAAUCUACGGUUUAAGUUUAUUAUUCUUUAAAAUCAUAAAAAAAGGAAUAUAAACUACUUUAGAUAGUUAAGAUGAACAUUUGAUUACUCACAAUAGUAGGAGUUUGGAGUACUCAUAUUCUUGAU